AUUGAACGCUGGCGGCAGGCCUAACACAUGCAAGUCGAGCGGAUGAAGGGAGCUUGCUCCUGGAUUCAGCGGCGGACGGGUGAGUAAUGCCUAGGAAUCUGCCUGGUAGUGGGGGAUAACGUCCGGAAACGGGCGCUAAUACCGCAUACGUCCUGAGGGAGAAAGUGGGGGAUCUUCGGACCUCACGCUAUCAGAUGAGCCUAGGUCGGAUUAGCUAGUUGGUGGGGUAAAGGCCUACCAAGGCGACGAUCCAUAACUGGUCUGAGAGGAUGAUCAGUCACUCUGACUGUGAGACGCUCCCCAGACUUCCGCGAGGCGCCACUGUGGAGUAUUGUGGACUGUGGGCAAACGUCAGCUACCCACGCGGCGCGUGUGAAGAAGGUCUUCGGAUUGUAAAGCACUUUAAGUUGGGAGGAAGGGCAGUAAGUUAAUACCUUGCUGUUUUGACGUUACCAACAGAAUAAGCACCGGCUAACUUCGUG
rnacentral:rRNA from 1 species